UACGGAGGGGGCGAGCGUUAUUCGGAAUUAUUGGGCGUAAAGGGCGCGUAGGCGGCUUUUCAAGUGACGGGUGAAAUCCCUCGGCUUAACCGAGGAACUGCCUGUCAGACUGGAAGGCUUGAGACCGGGAGAGGUGAGUGGAAUUCCCAGUGUAGCGGUGAAAUGCGUAGAUAUUGGGAGGAACACCAGUGGCGAAGGCGGCUCACUGGACCGGAACUGACGCUGAGGCGCGAAAGCGUGGGGAGCAAACAGG
rnacentral:rRNA from 1 species